GGGAACUAUUUCAAUUAGCUCCACAAGAAUUGAUCAAUUGUGUGAAGAAAGAUUAUGAAGCAUGUUAUGUAUGCUCGAUCAACGAAGGCUUUCGAUAUGCCAUACAAUAUGGCAUAAGAAGUGAGAUUGAUUGUCCUUUCCAAGCCCAAAAACACCCUUGUGUCAAUAAAGACAAGGAUUUGCCUGCCUUGAGAAUUCAAAGCUUCAAGAACAUAGACAAAGAAGAUGAGGAUGGCAUAAUUGAAGUUCUGAAGAAACAUCCUCUAGGGUAUAUACGAAGAACCCAAUGAGAUUCUUACCAAAGUUGCAAAUCAUUCCGUAUUGCUAAUGGGAUGUGGUACAGAUAAGGAGACGGGGAAGAAUUUCUGGGUGAUUCAAAAUUCUUGGGGUAAAAGUUGGGGCAUGAAUGGUUAUGCCAAAGUCAUGCGUAGUUCAAGUCUUCCUACUGGAUCACGACCUAUCCUAUCUAGAUUAUCAUACCCAGAAGAUGUGGACAAAUUUGUGUGUUCAAAAGAACAGAUAAUUGAGUACUGUCCCACUAGAGAGUAGAUUAUGUAAUAGUUCCUUAUGUGUCUUCUUUAGGUAAUAUAAUAGUAUAGAUACUUAUAUAAUAGUAUAGAUACUUAUGUUGUAAAGACAGUGUAUGUGAAAAUUGUGUGCACGUACUUUUACUAAUUUGACAUUUAAAUGAGUAUACAAGUUCUUUUAUUUUGGUGGUAGUUGUCUGUAAUGAAAGUUUAACUGGGCAGUGUAGUUUAUAAUUUGGUAUUUCAAAAUACCAAAUUGAUUUUAGUAAAAAUAUUAGUUGGCUAUUUCUAGCUGUUGAGUAAUUAGGAGUAGUUUGGUUUCUCAUGUGGGUAGCGAAGGAAACUCUCUUCCUCAUUG